AGCUAUCUUCAGGGCAGGAUGAAAUUUCCUACCGGUGGUACAGCCCACGAGCCGUAAGGCAUGAUUUGGUGAAAUUCCAAAGCCGACAGUUAAAGUCUGGAUGAAAGAAGAUAAAG
rfam:Johnsonella ignava ATCC 51276 genomic scaffold supercont1.2, whole genome shotgun sequence.